GUCAGUUUGUCCGAGUGGUUAAGGAGAAAGACUUGAAAUCUUUUGGGUUAUGCCCUCACAGGUUCGAAUCCUGUAGCUGACG